GUACACUCCCCGUCAAUGAUUCACAGGGUCGUGCAGUAGCCCUGACUUAUCGGCUUGAUUUACUCGCAUGGUCGAAAACGCGCGC